rnacentral:rRNA from 1 species
CCAAGGGAUAACCGGCGAACGGGUGCGUAACACGUGAACAACCUGCCCUCGUGUGGGGGAUAGCCAUGCUAACGCGUGGGUAAUACCGCAUACGGUCCUUUGGGGGAGUCCCUGGGGAAGAAAGCUCCGGCGCACGGGGAGGGGUUCGCGGCCUAUCAGCUAGUUGGGGGGGUAAUGGCCCACCAAGGCGAUGAUCAGUAGCCGGCCUGAGAGGGCGCACGGCCACACUGGAACUGAAACACGGUCCAG